AAACUAUAAUGUGAGCAUCUCCUUAGAAGUUCUCUAAAGCGCUCCCACGUCUCAAAUAGAGAUUCAGAUUCAUAUUGUUGAAAAUUAGAGAUUUCUGUCAUCAUCUU